UGAGGAAUAUUGGUCAAUGGGGCAACCCUGAACCAGCCAAGUCGCGUGAAGGAUGAAGGUCUUAUGGAUUGUAAACUUCUUUUAUACAGGAAUAAAUUGGGGGACGUGUCCCCUUUUGCAUGUACUGGAUGAAUAAGGAUCGGCUAACUCCGUGCCAGCAGCCGCGGUAAUACGGAGGAUCCGAGCGUUAUCCGGAUGUAUUGGGUUUAAAGGGUGCGCAGGCGGGAUGUUAAGUCGGCGGUGAAAUUUUGCAGCUCAACUGUAAAAGUGCCUUGGAUACUGGCAUCCUUGAGUGUGGAUGAAGUAGGCGGAAUUUGUGGUGUAGCGGUGAAAUGCUUAGAUAUCACGAGGAACUCCGAUUGCGCAGGCAGCUUACUAAGCCACAACUGACGCUCAUGCACGAAGGCGUGGGGAUCAAACA
rnacentral:rRNA from 1 species